rnacentral:rRNA from 1 species
AUGGCAGUCGAACGAAGUAGCAAUACUUAGUGGGCAGACGGGUGAAGUAACAUGUAGGUAUCUUCCCUUUGGUGAGGUAUAACAUGAGGAAACUUGUGCUAAUACCUCAUAAGUCUUUACGGAGAAAGCUUUAUGCGCCGAUGGAUGAGCCUGCACUUGAUUAGUUUGUUGGUAGGGUAAUGGCCUACCAAGACAAUGAUCAAUAGCUGAUUUGAGAGGAUGAUCAGCCACAUUGGGACUGAGACACGGCCCAAACUCCUACGGGAGGCAGCAGUAGGGAAUCUUGCACAAUGGGGGAAACCCUGAUGCAGCGAUGCCGCGUGAGUGAAGAAGGCCUUUGGGUUGUAAAGCUCUUUCGUCGGGGAAGAAAAUGACUGUACCCGAAUAAGAAGGUCCGGCUAACUUCGUGCCAGCAGCCGCGGUAAUACGAAGGGACCUAGCGUAGUUCGGAAUUACUGGGCUUAAAGAGUUCGUAGGUGGUUAAAAAAGUUGGUGGUGAAAUCCCAGAGCUUAACUCUGGAACUGCCAUCAAAACUUUUUAGCUAGAGUAUGAUAGAGGAAAGCAGAAUUUCUAGCGUAGAGGUGAAAUUCGUAGAUAUUAGAAAGAAUACCGAUUGCGAAGGCAGCUUUCUGGAUCAUUACUGACACUGAGGAACGAAAGCAUGGGUAGCGAAGAGGAUUAGAUACCCUCGUAGUCCAUGCCGUAAACGAUGUGUGUUAGACGUUGGAAAUUUAUUUUCUGUGUCGCAGCGAAAGCAAUAAACACACUGCCUGGGGAGUACGACCGCAAGGUUAANACUCAAAUGAAUUGACGGGGACCCGCACAAGUAGUGGAGCAUGUGGUUUAAUUCGAAGAUACGCGCAGGACCUUACCAACACUUGACAUGUUCGUCGCGACUUUA